rnacentral:misc_RNA from 1 species
CGACAAGCGGUGAGCUCUCCGUGCACCGGCACAUGUCUCUCGUCGGGCCCCGUCCGGUCGACACGCCCACGCCUGUGAGAGGCGCGCGGGAUCAGGAGACGGCGGAAUGCCCAUGCCUCCGCAGGCCCGUGAAAGCGUCCCCCGCCUGUCGCGGCGCGUGCGGGCAGGCAACCCAGACACGCAGCCCGGUGACAUGGGCGGAAGUGAGGGAUGAAGGCAGCGCGCCCGUCCCCCUCCCCCCCCACACACACACAACAGCUUCAUCGUGAAGCAGGCCUCAGGAUGCGCGGACGCGAGCACUGUGCAUUGGCGGUGUCAAGCACAGCCAGCAUGCGUCUAGGCCACCACCCCCUGUUACCCGCACGGCAGACGCCACCGCCUCCGCCCCAAAACAGGGCCCGGGGCCGCGGCCCCGCUUCGGAUCAAGGCACGCAAUCCGGCCCGGUCGGUGUGGCUGCUGAUCGCGCAGCACGCAUGCGAGGCAGAGGGACGAGGCAAGGGCAAGAGGAGCCCGUGAGGCGCACGGCCCGGUUCGGGGGCAGGACGGCUCGUCCUAGACGACCAGGACCGAGCCGCGGUGCAACACGCGGGUAGGUGCACCGUGUCGUUGUGUGCGUGUAUAUAUACACAUACAUAUAUAUGGGUGAUGACGUGUUCGUGGCAGCAUGAACACGUCGAUGAGCAAAACGUUUUUUUUUUUGUGUUUCUAGAGAGGUGCUGUUAUGAGUGAGGCGAAAGACGGGGUAGGAGGCUCUGUUCAUACAUCAUGUUGCUCAGGAAGAAGCGCCUGCGGGUCGGCUGCCGGGGGGGGGGGGGGCAGGACAGGGCGAGCAUAGACGCAUCUAUGUCGCCGAAGUCUACAGCAUACCGUUUUGCAUGGAUUCUGCUCUUAGUCCCUGCUGCUCCUUCGUGACGACAGGGGGGGCGUCUCGCCGUGGUAUGAGGGUCGAGUACGCUCACUCUGAGUUGAAUCCGAGCAGGCCCCUGCCCCAUGUUUCCCAUGCCAAAAGCCGAACCACCUCUGGUGGUUUCUCAGGCAGCCGGGGCCCCCUCCAUCCUGUGAUGUAAGAGCUCCUUGUCGCUACUACUUCGCGGCGGUCGGGCCCCGAAUGGCGUUGCCUCGGAGCGACGCUCGACGGUGCGUACGUCUGCGUCAUCCACAAGAUUGGGCAGAGUGUCGGCAUGACUCGAGCACAGCCCACCCCCACCCCUCACACCGCCUGCUGGUGUGGGAAGCCUGAAUGCCACCCCCGAGAAGGGAUGCACCAGGUGGCAACCUCCAUGAUGAGAGCGGCUGUGAGGCGGCCUGCGAGGGGCGGGGUGGGUGGGUAGAGGUUGGGGUCAGAGGUCGUGCUCCGGCGCCUGAGUCGGCGCACUGCUGUAGCACGUGCCAUUCGCUGCUUCGCAUCACGCGACGGGGGGCCUGUGACAGGGCGGGAGGUAGAGUGGCGCUUGAACGGAUGCGCUAAGGCAGCGAGUGGAAGCGUUAGAAAAGAAGCACCCCCGCCUCCUUUUACCGGUCGCCUCCCUGUCGCCUUGCGUGACGUCGGCAACGGUGCUUCUCUCUUGCUCGUCGCCAAGCUUGCCCUCCGCCCCUUUCCUUUUUUGUGCCCUCUUUGGCGCUCUGUCUGAAAGCAGCCUACGCGUGGUAGAGCGUUGUCCUUGACUGCAAGUGCUGUCGCAUGCGGACGAAUUAGCCGGGCAUCGUGUGCGCCGCUUUCUGCGUGCUUGAUGAUGCUGGUGUUUUUUUUUUAUGACAGAUAGGACGUCCGCGUAUUCGGUGGAAAAGGCGUGAGGGUAGAGGGCUCUGUGUAGCGCUUGAUAUGCGUGAUGGCCCCGCCUUGCAUGCGCAUGGGCUUUGCUGGCUGCCAGUGGUACACAGAGAGCUCUUCCUACGCCCCACAUGCUCAUACACUUUUUUUUUAUGUUUGCUGUCUUCAUGUUGGUUUCUUCUCGCAUCUCUCACGAUCCCGGAUAGAUGCAGCGGCUGUGUGGUGCUCGUUUUUUUCGACGGCUCGCUUCUUUUUUUCCUUCAAUAUAUAUAUAUAUAUAUAUAUAUUCGCAUGUGUGCGUGUGGGUCUCAUCUGGAAAGGGGGCGAUGCGAUCUCGCUUUCCUUUUUCGUCUCCCUUUCCGAAGCUGUCAUGGCGGCUUCGUUUUUUUUUUCUUCAAGCCUCGUGCACAGCUCUAGAAUAGCUACACAGAUGAGCUUUCACGCUACAGCCUCCGAUGCUGGUGUGAGCGAGCAUUGGUGCUUGCCGGUCUCCCCCUCUUCCUUCCGUUCUCCUCUAUGUUGGGGGCGGAAGUGCAGUUGGGGGGUCUCUGUUUCUUUUUCUUUGCUGUGGUCACCGCAUGCUUCAGUGCCUGUAUCGCUGGAUGGGAGUCCUCGCAUCACGAGAGAGGGAGUGAGAAAGAGACGCAGGUUUGUUUAUUGUUCUUCUUCCUGUUGCGGACGUGUGUGUGUGUGCGUGUUCAUUGAGCGGCUCUCUCCCCUCUCUCCUCCCAAGUCGGCGCCCUAUUCCUAUCAAUCUGUUGCUGUCAUGUCACCGGUGCAUCGCUUUCUUUUGGUACGCCACGGACAUCUUGUCCUCUCACCUUCCCAGCGCCUGCUCGUCCGUCUCCGUUGCUGUCUCUAUAUCUUUAUCUACCUUGCUCUGUAUUGUGUACCAUUCUCUCGCUCCUCAUAGACAAAUUUAUGCGCAUGUAAAUCUAUACAAGACGAGCCGUUAGACCCCCCUCCCUCCCUCCUCCCAAGAAGGGCGGGCGGGGUUCAACGUGCCGGUGCCAGCACCAAAGCUGUCUGGCGCCUAGAAUUGUAAGAGAGAGGGAGGAGUGUAUUGGCGCGCCUCCGCUGUGUCGAUACCCCUCGUCUCUGCUUAAACGUCCUGCGAUGGAGCUUACAUGCUCGGCGGGUGGAAGACGACGGACAAGGCGAGACCUGCGCACCCCCCCCCUAGCACUCGCAGGCACGCGAGACAAGCACACCUGCGAAUGUAGACGUGUACAAUGUGCGCUUGCCUCCACCACGCCGCGCAGGGAAAGAAGCACUGCCUGCUGCAAAACUGUGCAAUCGAUAGCGUUCUGACGACUGCAUUUUCCGCACCUUCCCCUCUCCGAAUCUGUCUCUGUGGCCGAGUCGCGCUUUUCCGUUUUUCGGCGUGUCUGUCUGUGUGUGUCUGUGUGUGUGCAUCUGGUGCCGGUCGCUAG